UUUUAAUUACAAAUAUAACCUUUUGUUUUCCUUUUUUAACCUUUAUAGUUUUUUAUUUUUUUACUUAUUUACCAAACCCUACUUUUACUCUGAUCUCUCCACCCCCUCCCCCCAUUUCAGAUUUGAGAUUCGCCCUUUUUCUCUCCUCCGUCUCAUUUUCUCCCCCCGCCCUUUUCUUCUUCACGCGUCACACUAAUUUUUCUCUAUUUGACUCUACUUUGCACUUAGUCGUGGUGGAGUGCCGUGGUGCGGUAAGGUGUGUGGCUGUUGUUACUGUUCGUGGUGGUGUUUCGCUGUAGUGAGUGGUGCAUAUCUUCGUCUACCAGGCUACCAAAUUCAUCACAGCUGCAGGAUUUGGUGCUAAGUGGCUCGGCAUAUUUUGGAAUGGCAUGGUGCAAUCUUUUAUUAAUGCUCAAACUCUAUCACUUUCAGGUACAAAUGGGAAAACUUCAUGAAUGCUCAACUAUCUUUAUAUGUAGCAACUAUGUACUUCCUUAACCCAACCUAAGACUUGAUGCUAACUUUUGAUCACGAGGAGGCUCAAAGCUGAAGUUCUCAAUUAUUUUUUAUUAUACUUUGUUUACGGCUACACUGGUAUAAUCACUUCAUGAAUACAUUUUCUCCGUGGCAGAUAUGUGGGAACCAAAGCUUGCUGCUAAAAUAGCUAAGCAACUUAAAAGAUUUCAUUAUGUGGAAAUUNCAGGUUCAAAGGAACCUCAAUUAUGGAAUGAUGUUUGGAAGUUCUCUGAGAAAGCUCUAUUAUAUUUUCUUUCUUCUAGUUUGGUCUCUGUCCGAUUCUAUUGAUGAGUUACUUCUGUAAUUUUGUUUGAAGUCAAUUUGAUUUGUUGAUUUUUAUUA